rnacentral:rRNA from 1 species
GCCUACGGCCAUACCACCCUGAAAGCGCCCGAUCUCGUCUGAUCUCGGAAGCUAAGAAGGGACGGGCUUGGUUAGUACCUGGAUGGGAGACCGCCUGGGAAUACCAGGUGUUGUAGGCU